UCCUGACUGACCGAUAGUGAACCAGUACCGUGAGGGAAAGGCGAAAAGAACCCCGGCGAGGGGAGUGAAAAAGAACCUGAAACCGUGUACGUACAAGCAGUGGGAGCACGCUUAGGCGUGUGACUGCGUACCUUUUGUAUAAUGGGUCAGCGACUUAUAUUCUGUAGCAAGGUUAACCGAAUAGGGGAGCCGAAGGGAAACCGAGUCUUAACUGGGCGUUAAGUUGCAGGGUAUAGACCCGAAACCCGGUGAUCUAGCCAUGGGCAGGUUGAAGGUUGGGUAACACUAACUGGAGGACCGAACCGACUAAUGUUGAAAAAUUAGCGGAUGACUUGUGGCUGGGGGUGAAAGGCCAAUCAAACCGGGAGAUAGCUGGUUCUCCCCGAAAGCUAUUUAGGUAGCGCCUCGUGAAUUCAUCUCCGGGGGUAGAGCACUGUUUCGGCAAGGGGGUCAUCCCGACUUACCAACCCGAUGCAAACUGCGAAUACCGGAGAAUGUUAUCACGGGAGACACACGGCGGGUGCUAACGUCCGUCGUGAAGAGGGAAACAACCCAGACCGCCAGCUA
rnacentral:rRNA from 1 species